AGAGUUUGAUCCUGGCUCAGGAUGAACGCUGGCGGUAUGAUUAACACAUGCAAGUCGAACGGGUUCUUCGGAACUAGUGGCGGACGGGUGAGUAAUGCGUAAGAAUCUAGCUUCAGGUCGGGGACAACAGUUGGAAACGGCUGCUAAUACCGGAUAUGCGGAAACGUGAAAGUUUUAAUGCCUGAAGAAGAGCUUGCGUCCGAUUAGCUAGUUGGUGGGGUAAGAGCCUACCAAGGCGACGAUCGGUAACUGGUCUGAGAGGAUGAUCAGUCACACUGGAACUGAGACACGGUCCAGACUCCUACGGGAGGCAGCAGUGGGGAAUUUUCCGCAAUGGGCGAAAGCCUGACGGAGCAAUACCGCGUGAGGGAGGAAGGCUCUUGGGUUGUAAACCUCUUUUCUCAGGGAAGAAUAGAUGACGGUACCUGAGGAAUAAGCAUCGGCUAACUCUGUGCCAGCCGCCGCGGUAAUAC
rnacentral:rRNA from 1 species